AUUGAACGCUGGCGGCGGGCCUAACACAUGCAAGUCGAGCGGAGCGGCGGACGGGUGAGUAAUGCCUAGGAAUCUGCCUGGCAGUGGGGGAUAACGUCCGGACACGGGCGCUGAUACCGCAUACUCUUAGAUGAGCCUUGGUCGUAUUAGCUAGUUGGUGGGGUAAAGGCCUACCAAGGCGACGCACCGUAACUGUGCUGAGAGGAUGAUCAGUCACACUGGAACUGAGACACGGGCCAGACUCCUACGGGAGGCAGCAGUGGGGAAUAUUGGACAAUGGGCGAAAGCCUGAUACAGCCAUGCCGCGUGUGUGAAGAAGGUCUUCGGAUUGUAAAGCACUAUUAGUUGGGAGGCGGUACCAACAGAGUAAGCACCGGCUAACUUCGUGCCAGCAGCCGCGGUAAUAC
rnacentral:rRNA from 1 species